GCUUGGGAUUAGUUUUUGGCCGUCAGAUCGUGCAAAAAGUUUCCUUAACACAGUUGGGAGCAUCCUCAACCAUCCGAUCGCAUGAUAGAUUGCUUUUGGGCUAUCAGAUCGUGCAAAUCCUCUUCUUAUAAACUGACAACAAACAUGGACUAUUAGAUCUGAUGAUGGAUGAGUUUUCGGCCAUUAGAUCAUGCAAAAACCCCUCUCUCACUGUGAGCCGCACUUGUGGACUGCGUG
rnacentral:lncRNA from 1 species